GACAUGCAGAGAACUUUCCAGAGAUGGAUUGGUGCCGUUCGGGAACUCUGACACAGGUGCUGCAUGGCUGUCGUCAGCUCGUGUCGUGAGAUGGUUGGUUAAGUCCCGUAACGAGCGCAACCCUUGUCCUUAGUUACCAGCACGUUAUGGUGGGCACUCUAAGGAGACUGCCGGUGACAAACCGGAGGAAGGUGGGGAUGACGUCAAGUCAUCAUGGCCCUUACGGCCUGGGCUACACACGUGCUACAAUGGUCGGUACAAAGGGUUGCCAAGCCGCGAGGUGGAGCUAAUCCCAUAAAACCGAUCGUAGUCCGGAUCGCAGUCUGCAACUCGACUGCGUGAAGUCGGAAUCGCUAGUAAUCGUGAAUCAGAAUGUCACGGUGAAUACGUUCCCGGGCCUU
rnacentral:rRNA from 1 species